CAAUUUUUGCUGUUUGAAAUAAUGGGAAUUUGGAGCUGAUCUUAGGCUCUUAUCACACUACAGGUGAUUUGAAAUGGGAACUAGAAAGAAAAAGAGAGGAAGAAAACCUAAACAGAAAGAUGAUGAGGUAGAAUAUGUGAGUACCCGUGAACCUGAACCAGUAGAACCAGAAUCUGCAGAACCAGAACCCCAAGUACAAGCUGAGCAAGAGCAGUUGAUAGACACAUAUAUUCUUAAUGCGACAACUGCUGAAUUAAACGAAGAAGAUCCUCAACUAGAGCUCAAUGAAGAAGAGCUUGAAGGUGAAGUGACGCCUAAUGACACUGAGAAAGGUCUGAUUGAUGAAGAGCCUGAAGGUGAGAUACAAUUCUCUGAAGAUCAUGACAACAUUGAGAGAAAGAGUAAGAGACAGCGAGGACCAACACGCAUGAAAGACAUCGCCAAGGAUCCAAAUACCAGAGUACAUGUAGAGUUCAAUAGCCUGGGAGAAAUUUAUGGUAAAGGGUCUGUUAAGAUGGCAUCUUACGUUGGAGCAUUGGUACGGGAACAUGUUCCUAUCACAUUUGAUCAUUGGACAAAAAUAACUGAAGAAAUCAGGACACUUCUCUAGAAAUCUGUCCAGGCAAGGUUUGAGAUAGAUGAAGAGUACCAGAAGACUGCAGUGGUUAAGCAGAUGGGAUGUCUGUGGAGGUCAUGAAAAUCUCGUCUAGUCACCCAGAUUAGACAAGCCAAUACUAACUAACAAAGGAUGAUCUAAGAAUGUUUAGACAAGCCAUGAAGCUGCGACCUAAGAAUGUUUCUCUAUUUGAGUGGCGUAAACUAGUCAAAAUCAAAACUAGCAAAGAGUUUAAGGUUGUAAGUGAUAGCUAUAAAGAACGAAGGAGCAAACAGAUUCCUCACACUACUGGCCGCAAAGGAAUGGUUAGACUAGCAGAAGAUAUGGGAAAGGAGUGUUCAAAUCCAAGUGAAGUGGCACGGCUAAAGGUCUGGAUCAAGUCACGUACUAGAAAAGAUGGUACACCGGUGAAUACAAAUGCGGCUGAAAAGAUUGUGAAUUAAAAAAUAUUGUAUUAUGUUCUGCAUAUUGGAAUUAGAUCAUAACGUUUGAAGCUGUAUCUUGUGAUUGGCAGAGAGAGGCAGCUGAGAUUGUUAAAAGUGAUACUCUAGCAUCUGCUUGUUUUGAUGGCCAAGAUUCACUUAGCCAGCUACUAGGACCUGAUAAUCCUAGUCGAAUGAGGGCAAUGGGUAGAAACAUGAAUAAGACCAAAUUAGCAUGUUUCCAAGUGAAGAACAAGUGUAUGGCUGAAAUGGAAGCGAAGCAAACUCAUCUAUUGUAGAAGGUCAAUGAGUUAGAAGAUGUAAUUGAAAAAUUGAAGAACCAGAGACAAGAGCAUGAUGCUGCUUCAAACUCAGCUAUUAGAAUGAGUUAGGCCCUUCGGAUGUCAAAGUUUUGGUUGACACUGCUAUGGUACCAGACACAUAUCUUUGGAGACCUGCACUUAACAUGUGCACAAUUGAAUCUGCUAUCGGACAGAUGAUUGCUUGGCCUGCCCUCUAAGUGUGUUAACCUAGAAAAUGAGCAGGAACCAGAAGACAUUGCACAACUGAGCCAAAGAACUAAUUCAGCGAUGAACAAAUGCAAGCUGCUGGAUUUGUCUUCAGAUGACGUGGUUGUUGUUGAAGGGCGUUGGCAGACACAAGGUCGUGAUGCAUUAGUAAAUGGGCUACCUUUGGGACCAAAUGCAGUGAAGAUCUUGGUAGAUGUGGUAUGUCAACCUGAGACAUUUAUCUGGAGGCAUACAAUUGAUGUAACAUACCUUGAGGACUGUCUACAAACAUUUGUAUCAUGGCCUGUGAACAAAGUCGUCUUUCAAAACACAAUAGAUGCAAUAGGUCAGCAAUCUCCAAUUCAGAAAUCUGCAUCAACUCAGCAAUCUUCAGGAGGAAAAUCUGCAGCAACAGCGCAUAAAUCAGUGGAAACAAGUCAGAAAACUGUUGUAGCAUGUCAGAAAACUGCUGCAACAGUCUCAAAACCUCCUGCAGAAAAGUCUCCACCGUCUGGUCGAGAAUCUCCUAUCCAGAAAAGUUAACGACCUACACUAAUAUCCCCUCUUCGAAGAUCUCCGCGUAAACGGGAGCUGAGGUCAUCAAAGAAAAUAAAAAAUACAAGUUGAUGGAUAUUAGUGGAAGGAAGGAGAUUGUCGCCGAAGGACGUGUGCAUUGAGUCAACCCAGACAUUAAGGUCCACUGUGUUCGCUUGGGUUCAAAUGCAGCUAGAGUAUGGGUUGAUAUAGUGAUGAUAGAUGAUGUAGCGGUUUGGAGGCCAUCAGAUGAAAUCGAGUACAUGAGAGAUGCACUUGGUUCAUCUAUUGCAUGGUCAAUGGAUAAGUUGGUCAUCUUUUGAUCAGUUUAAGAAACUGAGGGGAAUGAAGUAACUUUGGUCCAUGUUAGCUAGUUUUAAUUAAGUUUAAGACAGAGCUAAUCAUCAACUUAUGACUUCUGUUAUGUAUGAUGAAUGAUUAUGUAAACUUUUACUCUUAAGGAUAUGGAAUCAGACUUUAUCUGAAAUGAUUUUUAUUUGUA